rnacentral:piRNA from 1 species
CCACUUACUGAGUGCCGUCUUUUGCCAG